UACGAAGGGGGCUAGCGUUGCUCGGAAUCACUGGGCGUAAAGGGUGCGUAGGCGGGUCUUUAAGUCAGGGGUGAAAUCCUGGAGCUCAACUCCAGAACUGCCUUUGAUACUGAAGAUCUUGAGUUCGGGAGAGGUGAGUGGAACUGCGAGUGUAGAGGUGAAAUGCGUAGAUAUUCGGAAGAACACCAGUGGCGAAGGCGACUCACUGGACACAUAUUGACGCUGAGACACGACGGCGUGGGGAGCAAACCGG
rnacentral:rRNA from 1 species